CCUACUGAUGACCAAAUUUCUCUAAAUCUCAAGCUUAGAUAUUGAUGAUGGAAAAUGGGCAUAAAGGCUAGAUUCUGGCUGCCCUCCAGUUAUUGGCAGAAUCCAGGUGGAAGUGCAGUGGUGUGACACCAAAGUAUCCACUUCACUCAGUCAAAGAUGCCAAGUGGUGUUAUUUUAGUGGUGUUGUUGUUUGGUGUCAAUAUCCGAGAUUCAUUGUCUUAUGGCCAUGGAAAAUUAGGACGCAGGCACACACAGAGUGAAGUUCAGAGUGGAAGUUUAAUAGGUGAAAGAAAGAGAAGUGCUCUCUCUGCUGAAGAGACAGGGGUCCUGAAGAAAUGUGUUGCUGCUUUUGCAGUGAAAUACAGAAGGUUUUAUGGAUGAGCUUGAGGAGGUGGUGUCUGAUUUACAUAGGGCAUGAAAAAUUGGUUGGGCCAGGUGUUCCAUUUGCAUAAGGCAUGAAAAACUGGUUAGGACUGGGUGUGCCAUGCAUAGUGCACGAAAAGGCUGGCCACCCACCCUAAUCUUUCAUUAAGCAGAUGGGUUCUCUACACGGCUGGCGCCACAUUGCCUGGUUUUCUACCGUACAUAUGGUGACAAAGAAAAAGGAAGAUUUUUUGAUGUUGUUGUUAAAAAGGAAAUUCACUGAGGACUCUGUUGCCUUACUAUCUGCCUAAAUAAUUUAUUUCUAUCUCCUGUAUCACUAUGACAGGGGGAAACAAACAAGAAAAGAAGGGCUGAUCCUGCCUUCUACAUAUGUGGUGAUGCUGUUUGUUCAUUUAUGGGUCACUUUUUUGUAUCUGAGACGGAGCUUGGCUCUUGUUGCCCAGGCUGGAGUGCAGUGGUGCGAUCUCGGCUCACCGCAACCUCCACCUCCUGAGGUCUAGGGAUUCUCCUGCCUCAGCCUCCGAGUAGCUGGGAUUACAGGCACGCACCACCACGCCCAGCUAAUUUUGUAUUUUUGGUAGAGACGGGGUUUUUGUAUGUUGGUCAGGCUGGUCUUGAACUCCUGACCUCAGGUGAUCUGCCUGCCUCGGCCUCCCAAAGUGCUGGGAUUACAGGCGUGAGCCACCUCGCCCGGCCUAUUGGGCACUGUUAAGUGACAUUUUUGUGAAGAUUCUGUGGGACAUGGAGAAACUUAAGGAAUGAGACUUCAUUAAUUAGUUUUAAAGAAGUACUCAGGGUGAUUGAGAUGACAUUCCAUUAUGUUCCCCUGAUUAGGAUGGGCUUGGCAGUUUGAUUCAUAGAACACUAUGUAGAAAGUAUCUUUUCCUUUGGCAUGAAAUUAGUUAAACUGGCAUGUAAACACAUGCAAUUAAUAUCUUCCCUGUCUACCCUGUGCCAGUAACUUAAAAAAAUAAAAAUAAAGAGAGAAAGGUAAUAAUUAAUCUAUAAAGAAAAAGACAAUAGUACAUAAAAGAUUUAAAGAUAUAUUUGAAAAUUGGAAAACAGUAAAUGCACCUUGGUAUUUACCCAAAGAAGUUAAAAAUUUGUAUCCACAUGGAAACCUACACAGGAAAGUUUAUAGCAGCUUUAUUUAUAAUUGCCAAAAUUUAGAAGCAACCAAGAUGUUCUUCAGUAGGUGAAUGGUUAAAGAAACUGUGGUAUGUUCAGACAAUGCAAUAUAAGUCAGUGCUAAAAGGAAAUGAGCUAUCAGGCCAUAGAAAAGCACAAAGGAAACUUAAGUGCAUAUUUUACUAAGUGAAAGAAGCCAAUCUGAAAAGGCCAUAUGAUGUACUCCAAAUAUAUGACAUUCUGGAAAAGGUAAAACUAUGGAAUCAGUUAAAAGAAAAAGAUCAGUGACUGCCAGGGUUUGAGGCGUGGGAUAAUUUAUCUACAGAAAAUUUUCAGGGCAGUGAAAAUUUUCACGGAAGCACAGAAGAUUUUCAGGGCAGUGAAAACACUCUGUAUAAUGCUAUAUUGAUGAAUACAUAUUAUUAUACAUUUACCUAAACCCAUAGGAUAUACAACACUAAGCAUGAACCUUAAGGGAAACUAUGGACUUUGGGUGAUAUUGAUGUGCCAAUGUCGUUUCAUCGACUGUAACAAAUGCACCACUCUGGUGGGAGAUGUUGACAAUGGGGAAGGCUGACCAUAUGUGGAGACAAGAGUAUAUAAGAAAUCUCUGUAUCUUCUUCUCAAUGUUGCCAUAAACUUAAAACUGCUCUUAAAAAACUUGUCUUACAUGUUUUAAAAUUGUACUUUAACUUGUGAGAAUUGUGGUAGAAGUACGCUUUAAAAUUAAUUCAUGCCUCUAAAAUAUUGCAUUUGUCAUAAAAUGUCAUUAGGCACGCUCUCAUUUAAAUCAAAUUACCUUCUCUCUCUCUGAUCCCUAUAAUCCUUUAUACCUCCCAUAUGAUAUUUGCCAGAUUUUACCUUGUAAAAUUGCUGUCACAACCUUUUCUGACCCUAUACAUAAAACUGCAAAAGGUCUGAGACCAGGAAAUCAUAUCUUAAUAUAUUUGUGGUACCCACUAAAAACAGUGCCAUGCAUUUAUAGUAGAUGCUAAAUAACAAAUAUUAAAUAAUUAUCCAAGAUGCUCAGUUUAAUUCAAGCAGACAGAGUCACUGAAAAAUUAUUUUGAGCAUUGAUAACAUCACUGGCAUAUGUGGGUAGCCUGCCAGGUGGCAGUCUUGCCAAGGAAAGCAUUCAUUUGAAUGUGUAAGAUCUGGUAUGUCAUCAAAAGCCAUUCGUAUGAUUUCAUCGUCAUGGCAUCUAUUUAGUGAGUGACUCUUAGAUUACUUAGAGCAGGAUGCUAGGUGCUUUGGGUGGGAUUCAGAAGAGGCAUAAAAUAUAAUCCAUUCCUUUAACAAAAAAUAUAAAGUCGUGUAUAAUUAAGUUCUAAAUUGUGUAGUGAAAGUAAGUGAGGCUCUGAGGGAAUUAAAGGCUAAAAUUGGCUUUCAUUUUU
rnacentral:lncRNA from 1 species